rnacentral:rRNA from 1 species
UACGAGGGGGGCGAGCGUUGUUCGGAAUUAUUGGGCGUAAAGGGUGCGUAGGCGGUUCCGCAAGUCCUGUGUGAAAUCUUCGGGCUCAACUCGAAGUCUGCACGGGAAACUGCGGGGCUUGAGUGUGGGAGAGGUGAGUGGAAUUCCCGGUGUAGCGGUGAAAUGCGCAGAUAUCAGGAAGAACACCCGUGGCUAAGGCGGUUCUCUAGUACGGUACUGACGCUGAGACGCGAAAGCGUGGGGAGCGAACGGG